CGCGCGGCUCGGGCGGAUUCCCGUUGUGGUCGGGUGCGUGGAUGGUACGCUCAUCGCCAUCCAGAAGUCCCAUGGUCUGAGCUCCGCGGACACGACGCAUUACAUGUCGCGGAAGGGAGUCUACGCAUUGAACACCGUGAUCACAUGUGAUGCCGACCUCUGGAUGUCAGUCCAUGUUUCCUGGGGUCAUGUCAUGACUCGUGGGUAUGGCGGGAAGCCCUCUCCGUCAGCACCUGAAAGCAAAACUUCGGCUUGCUUGGAGACUCCAGCUAUACAUUAGAACCGUGGCUCCUGACACCAGUGCCCGGACGACCAGCUCGUGGCACCCCUGAUAACCACUACAACAAGGCCCACACCGCCUUGCGCAAUGUUGUGGAGUGGUGCAUCGCUGUAAGCUUGUGCAGAGCUGCACAAGCAUCAUCGCUGCUUGUGCAGCUCUGCACGACAUUGCGUUGGCGCCACAUGAGCCUG